GUGCUCUGGCUUCUCUUCAAGAUCGUGUUAAUCUUUCGCCUUUUACUAAAGAUUACCGUGGAGAGGAACAACUUAAUGAGACUUUCCCUAAUUUUUGGAAUCUCACUUCGGUGAGAU